rnacentral:tmRNA from 1 species
GGGGUUGUACUGGUUUCGACAGGGAUCUUGAAAUUGCAUAAGCCAUCCGGGGACUCCGGAACCUCGUUAAUAAGCUGGAAACUUUAAAUUUAAACGCAGACGAAAACGUAGCGUUAGCUGCCUAAUUGCAGCUUGUCGCCCUCAUGUCACCCGCUGCAUGGGUAAGCGGCAUCAUCUCUGCGGGGAACUUCACCGUCAAAGCUUUGAGGCGGAUGAAGAUUUAUGAAGCUACUGAAGUUCUUAGCCUGUCUUUCGGCGAAGAAUGGAGGAAAUGUUAAAAGGAAGACUGUGAUGGAAGAAGUUGCGACGGACGGGUUUUUGGACAGGGGUUCGAUUCCCCUUAGCUCCACU